AAAUAUCACAAACAAGUAUUCCCGUCUUGCAAAAGCAGAAAAUGGAAACAAACAAUGAAGCUUUCAGUUACAAACCCAACUCAGGUUAAAUCAUUCAUCAUCAUGGCUUUCAUGUUUUUAUGUUUGUUUAGUUUCAACCUUUUCUUAAACUCAAUACAAUACACUAAUCAUCAUCAUCGUCAUCAUCAUGUUUAAUAUAUGGCGCCACAAAACCCUUCUCAACCCCAUAACUUUGUCACUAUCCCUAAACCCUAACCCUUUUUUCCACCAUUACCCAUUACCCUUUUGCACCAACACUUCAGAUUCAACCUCAUUUGCAGUUUCCUACCUCAUCAACAAUUUUGGGUUUUCCCCAAAAUCAGCUUCCAAACUUUGCUCCACUUACAAUGUUCAUUUCAAGAAUGCUCAAAAACCUGAUUCAGUUCUUAAUUUCUUUAGAAACCAUGGUUUCUCAGACACCCAAUUACGCGAUAUCAUUGCAAAAUCACCACGGCUACUUUACUGCAACCCCUCCAAAAGGGUGUUGCCAAAGUUUCAAUUUUUACUCUCCAAAGGUGCUUCUAACUCUGACAUUGUUAACCUUGUCAGUAAGUACCCUGUAGUCCUGUCUACAAGCCUCGAGAAUCGUUUAGUCCCGGCUUAUGAAUUGGUUUAUAGAUUCUUGAAAUCUCACAAAGACACUUAUGAUUUGCUUAAUUACAAUGUAAAUUUCUUUAGAAGAAGUGGUGUGCAGCAUAACGUGAGAGUGCUGAUUGAGAAUGGAGUGUCCGACUCAAACAUCGCAAUGAUACUUCGAUCUCGGAGUCAGACAAUCGAAAACCCUGACAUGGUGAAGUUAGUGAAGGAAUUAAAGGAUUUGGGGUUUAAUCCUUCAAAAAUACCUUUUGGUAUAGCAUUGGUGGCCAAAACAACUGUAAGAAAAACUUUGUGGAAAAAGAAAGUCGAUGCCUUUAAGAAGUGGGGUUGGUCUGAUGAAGAUGUUCUUAGAGCAUUUAGAUUGCAGCCUUAUUGUAUGUUGACAUCCAUUGAUAAAAUCAUUUUGUUGAUGAGUUUUUGGGUCAAUCAGUUGGGUUGGGAUGCUCGUGCCCUUGCCAACGAACCGCCGUUAUUUUUGUUAAGUUUGGAGAAAAGGAUCAUUCCAAGGGCCCAAGUAGUGCAGUUUCUGCUAAAGAAAAAUUUGCUGCAAAGAAAGAAUUUAAGCUUAACUCGUCCAUUUAUAGGGCCUGAUAAGUUGUUUCAUGAUAAGUUUAUCAAACGUUUUAAGGAGGACUCUUCUUAUCUAUUAAAGCUGUAUGAGGAAAAACGCAAUCUUGCAUUCACCAAAGACAAAACUUGCAUGUAAUGAUCAGAUUUUUCAGUUGUGACUACUUUGCAAAUAAUUCUGGAAAAAUGCAAGCAUAUGAAUUAAACAAUACACAUGGUUCAAAGAACACCUUGAUCCUAGGAAAGAUGUUUUCAAGAAUCUUACCUAUAAGGGAGAAGUUUCUUUUCAUUGAAGGCAUAUGGAAAAACAUUGUUGUCCUUUAUCUAACAAAUCAUUUUUUAAAGGUUACAAAUUAGAUGUGAGGAGUCCUUUUGAUUGGAAAGGGUAUGGAAGAAUCUUUUUAUGUGUGUAACUGUUAAAUAGCUUCUUUGGUCAUUAUGGAUUAAUCAGUUAUUUUCUUCUCCUGCAACAUUCUGUAGAUCCUUCUAAAUCUUCUAUAUGAUUUGUUUAAAGUUAAUUUUCUCUCGCAAUAUUUUGUUUCGCAAAUAAAUUACUUAAUGAACAUAACAUCAAAUAUUCUGACUGUUGCGAUAAAAAAA